GAUGAACGCUGGCGGCGUGCUUAAUACAUGCAAGUCGAACGGAAAGAUGCGGAUCUCGCUGCUCUGACGUUGGCAACGGGCGGGUGAGUCGCAGGUGGUUAGCCUACCUCUAUGAGUUAGGUAACUUCAAGAGACUCUAGCACUUACCGGGACCUAUCUUUAGCCGGAUUGUUGAAUAGUGAAGGAUGGGUUUGGUGUCAGCUAUAGAUCUAUCCGCGCCGCAUUAGCUAGUUGGUAAGGUAACGCCUUACCAAGGCAACGGUGCGUAGCCGGCCUGGGAGGGUGACCGGCCAGACUGGAUCUGCGACACGGUCCAGACUCCGACGGGAGGCAGAAGUAGGCAAUCUUCCGCAGUGGGCGAAAGCCUGACGGAGCCACGCCGCGUAAGUGAUGAAGGUCUUCGGAUCGUAAAACUCUGUUAUUAGGGAAGAACAAAUGUGUAAGUAACUAUGCACGUCUUGACGGUACCUAAACAGAAAGCCACGGCUAACUACGUG
rnacentral:rRNA from 1 species